UACGUAGGCGGAAAAUUAAGUCAGUAGUGAAAUCCCGCAGCUUAACUGUGGAACUGUUAUUGAUACUGGUUUUCUUGAAUAUAGUUGAGGUAGGCGGAAUGUGUAAUGUAGCGGUGAAACGCUUAGAUAUUACACAGAACACCGAUUGCGAAGGCAGCUUACUAAGCUAUGAUUGACGCUGAGGUACGAAAGCGUGGGGAGCGAACAGGAUUAGAUACCCUGGUAGUCC
rnacentral:rRNA from 1 species